rnacentral:rRNA from 1 species
GUGAGGAAUUUUCCGCAAUGGGCGAAAGCCUGACGGAGCAAUGCCGCGUGAAGGAUGAAGGCCUAUGGGUUGUAAACUUCUUUUCUCAGAAAAGAAUUAUGACGGUAUCUGAGGAAUAAGCAUCGGCUAACUCUGUGCCAGCAGCCGCGGUAAGACAGAGGAUGCAAGCGUUAUCCGGAAUGAUUGGGCGUAAAGCGUCGGUAGGUUGUUUAAAAAGUAUUCUGUCAAAGAUUAGGGCUUAACCCUAGAUAGGCAGAAUAAACUUUUAAGAUAGAGUUUGGUAGAGGCAGAGGGAAUUCCCGGUGGAGCGGUGAAAUGCGUAGAUAUCGGGAGGAACACCAAAGGCGAAGGCACUCUGCUGGGCCAAUACUAACACUGAGAGACGAAAGCGAGGGGAGCAAAUGGGAUUAGAAACCCGAGUAGUCC